UACGGAGGGUGCAAGCGUUAAUCGGAAUUACUGGGCGUAAAGCGUGCGUAGGCGGUUCGUUAAGUCUGUUGUGAAAGCCCCGGGCUCAACCUGGGAAUGGCAAUGGAUACUGGCGAGCUAGAGUGUGUCAGAGGAUGGUGGAAUUCCCGGUGUAGCGGUGAAAUGCGUAGAGAUCGGGAGGAACAUCAGUGGCGAAGGCGGCCAUCUGGGACAACACUGACGCUGAGGCACGGAAAGCGUGGGGAGCAAAC
rnacentral:rRNA from 1 species